AGAGUUUGAUCCUGGCUCAGGACGAACGCUGGCGGCGCGCCUAACACAUGCAAGUCGAACGAGAGAUGAAGAGCUUGCUCUUCAGAUCGAGUGGCGAACGGGUGAGUAACGCGUGAGGAACCUGCCUCAAAGAGGGGGACAACAGUUGGAAACGACUGCUAAUACCGCAUAAGCCCACGGCUCGGCAUCGAGCAGAGGGAAAAGGAGCAAUCCGCUUUGAGAUGGCCUCGCGUCCGAUUAGCUAGUUGGUGAGGUAACGGCCCACCAAGGCGACGAUCGGUAGCCGGACUGAGAGGUUGAACGGCCACAUUGGGACUGAGACACGGCCCAGACUCCUACGGGAGGCAGCAGUGGGGAAUAUUGCACAAUGGGGGAAACCCUGAUGCAGCGACGCCGCGUGGAGGAAGAAGGUCUUCGGAUUGUAAACUCCUGUUGUUGAGGAAGAUAAUGACGGUACUCAACAAGGAAGUGACGGCUAACUACGUGCCAGCAGCCGCGGUAAAACGUAGGUCACAAGCGUUGUCCGGAAUUACUGGGUGUAAAGGGAGCGCAGGCGGGAAGACAAGUUGGAAGUGAAAUCCAUGGGCUCAACCCAUGAACUGCUUUCAAAACUGUUUUUCUUGAGUAGUGCAGAGGUAGGCGGAAUUCCCGGUGUAGCGGUGGAAUGCGUAGAUAUCGGGAGGAACACCAGUGGCGAAGGCGGCCUACUGGGCACCAACUGACGCUGAGGCUCGAAAGUGUGGGUAGCAAACAGGAUUAGAUACCCUGGUAGUCCACACCGUAAACGAUGAUUACUAGGUGUUGGAGGAUUGACCCCUUCAGUGCCGCAGUUAACACAAUAAGUAAUCCACCUGGGGAGUACGACCGCAAGGUUGAAACUCAAAGGA
rnacentral:rRNA from 1 species